AGUAGAAUUGCUGGGUCGUAUGAUAAUAAUACUUUUAUCCUUUUGAGGAACUUCCAGACUAUUUUCUAUAGUGGCUCAAUCAACUUGCAUUCCCAUUAACAAC
rnacentral:pre_miRNA from 1 species